GAUGAACGCUGGCGGCGUGCCUAAUACAUGCAAGUCGAGCGAACCACUUCGGUGGAGAGCGGCGAACGGGUGAGUAACACGUAGGUCAUCUACCCAUUAGACGGGGAUAACGUUUGGAAACGAACGCUAAUACCGGAUAGGAAGAAAUUUUAAAGGUGCUUUCGGGCAUCGCUAAUGGAUGAGCCUGCGGCGCAUUAGCUAGUUGGUAAGGUAAGAGCUUACCAAGGCGACGAUGUGUAGCCGACCUGAGAUGGUGAACGGCCACACUGGGACUGAGACACGGCCCAGACUCCUACGGGAGGCAGCAGUAGGGAAUCUUCGGCAAUGGACGAAAGUCUGACCGAGCAACGCCGCGUGAAUGAAGAAGGCCUUCGGGUUGUAAAAUUCUGUUAUAAGGGAAGAAAGACUAUAGUAGGAAAUGGCUAUAGAGUGACGGUACCUUAUGAGAAAGCCACGGCUAACUACGUGCCAGCCGCCGCCGUAA
rnacentral:rRNA from 1 species